CAAGUGCCAGAGGACGACUUGUCAUUUCUUGACGCUGUAAAUCUGGUUUCGAAGCUAACAAAUUCCCUUGCUGAAUUAAUAUUUGAUCCAAAUAACUGCACCUUGGUUAAUUACAUUGGAGGGAUCAAUCAACGAGCAAUGUCUUUCUUGGAGGAUCAAUUCAGGUUGCUUCUUGAAGAUUAUAAAAGCAAUAAUGAGGUAGAUCAG
rnacentral:misc_RNA from 1 species